UGGGGAAUAUUGCACAAUGGGCGAAAGCCUGAUGCAGCAACGCCGCGUGAGUGAUGAAGGCCUUCGGGUUGUAAAGCUCUGUCUUUUGGGACGAUAAUGACGGUACCAAAGGAGGAAGCCACGGCUAACUACGUGCCAGCAGCCGCGGUAAUACGUAGGUGGCAAGCGUUGUCCGGAUUUACUGGGCGUAAAGGAUGCGUAGGCGGAUUUUUAAGUGAGAUGUGAAAACCCUAAGCUUAACUUGGGGACUACAUUUCAUACUGGAAAUCUAGAGUGCGGGAGAGGAGAAUGGAAUUCCUAGUGUAGCGGUGAAAUGCGUAGAGAUUAGGAAGAACACCAGUGGCGAAGGCGAUUCUCUGGACCGUAACUGACGCUGAGGCAUGAAAGCGUGGGUAGCAAACAGGAUUAGAUACCCUGGUAGUCCACGCCGUAAACGAUGAGUACUAGGUGUAGGAGGUAUCGACCCCUUCUGUGCCGCAGUUAACACAAUAAGUACUCCGCCUGGGAAGUACGAUCGCAAGAUUAAAACUCAAAUGAAUUGACGGGGUCAUAGCUGUUUUCCU
rnacentral:rRNA from 1 species